UACGUAGGUGGCAAGCGUUGUCCGGAUUUAUUGGGUUUAAAGGGUGCGUAGGCGGUCCUAUAAGUCAGUGCUGAAAUAUCCCGGCUUAACCGGGAGGGUGGCAUUGAUACUGCAGGACUUGAGUAAAGUUGAGGUAGGCGGAAUUGACGGUGUAGCGGUGAAAUGCUUAGAUAUCGUCAAGAACACCGAUAGUGAAGACAGCUUACUAAACUUUUACUGACGCUGAGGCACGAAAGUGUGGGGAUCAAACAGG
rnacentral:rRNA from 1 species